GAAUAUUGGACAAUGGGGGGAACCCUGAUCCAGCCAUGCCGCGUGUGUGAAGAAGGCCUUUUGGUUGUAAAGCACUUUAAGCGAGGAGGAGGCUACUCUAGUUAUUACCUAGCGAUUGUGGACGUUACUCGCAGAACAAUCACCGGCUAACUCAGUCCCAGCAGCCGCGGUAAUACAGAGGGUGCAAGCGUUAAUCGGAUUUACUGGGCGUAAAGCGCGCGUAGGUGGCCAAUUAAGUCAAAUGUGAAAUCCCCGAGCUUAACUUGGGAAUUGCAUUCGAUACUGGUUGGCUAGAGUAUGGGAGAGUAUGGUAGAAUUCCAGGUGUAGCGGUGAAAUGCGUAGAGAUCUGGAGGAAUACCGAUGGCGAAGGCAGCCAUCUGGCCUAAUACUGACACUGAGGUGCGAAAGCAUGGGGAGCAAAC
rnacentral:rRNA from 1 species